rnacentral:piRNA from 1 species
UGCCUAAGAAUGCCUCUUCUUGGGGA